UUGCAAUGGAUGCUUUCUUUGUACAAUAACAAGUUGAAUGGAAUUUUGGAGGAUGAGAUGGGUCUUGGAAAAACUGUGUAGGUUAUGGCAUUGAUUGCAUACUUGAUGGAAUUUAAAGGAAACUAUGACCCGCAUCUUAUAAUAGUACCGAAUGUUGUUUUAGUUAACUGGAAGAGCGAGUUUUAUAAUUGGCUACCAUCUGUGUCGUGCAUUUUUUAUGUUGGAAGCAAGGAUCAAUGGUCAAAAUUG